UACGAAGGGGGCUAGCGUUGCUCGGAAUCACUGGGCGUAAAGGGUGCGUAGGCGGGUCUUUUAAGUCAGGGGUGAAAUCCUGGAGCUCAACUCCAGAACUGCCUUUGAUACUGAAGAUCUUGAGUUCGGGAGAGGUGAGUGGAAUGCCGAGUGUAGAGGUGAAAUUCGUAGAUAUUCGGCGGAACACCAGUGGCGAAGGCGACUCACUGGCCCCGAUACUGACGCUGAGGCGCGAAAAGCGUGGGGGAGCAAACAGGG
rnacentral:rRNA from 1 species